rnacentral:misc_RNA from 1 species
UGGCUUAAUCUUUGAGACAAGCAUAUGACUACUGGCAGGAUCAACCAGGUAGCAUUCCUCUUCGACGUAGCCCACCAUGAACAAACAAGCCGUAACAUGGUAGGCAAUCGUUUAGAGAAGCAAGAACGCUUAACAAGGGCAUAUUGAAUAUCUUAUGAAGACCCAAGCCCACAUCAGGUUCCGUAUACAAGAGACCAAACGAUUCAUCAUUAGCCACAUCGUUGUUGCAAACGCAACAACAACAUGGAUCACAAAGACCGUUUCAUUGUGCAUCCCACGCCGCAUGAACGACGCAUGAACGAAAAGGAAAACCGUAAACCCACACGUUACCGUCAAUUAGGUAUGCAACACAGGAAACCCACAAUAUGCGCAAGACAAAGCAAGUCUUUACGCAAAACUGAAGAGGUAAGCAGCAUGGACGUUGGUGCGCGAGCAAACAGCCAUCCACACGUAACAAACCAAACACCACUCAUGCACCUCCCCGGUAGACAUUCCCGAAAGCCGCCCAACUAGUAGCCACCCACCCAACCAAAAGGCCAAGCAAGCAACCAAAAGCCAAAACAGCCCCCAGAAUGCACC